GACGUAGGGCGCGAGCGUUGUCCGGAAUCAUUGGGCGUAAAGCGCGUGUAGGCGGCCCGGUAAGUCCGCUGUGAAAGUCGGGGGCUCAACCCUCGGAAGCCGGUGGAUACUGUCGGGCUCGAGUACGGAAGAGGCGAGUGGAAUUCCUGGUGUAGCGGUGAAAUGCGCAGAUAUCAGGAGGAACACCUAUUGCGAAGGCAGCUCGCUGGGACGUAACUGACGCUGAGACGCGAAAGCGUGGGGAGCAAACAGG
rnacentral:rRNA from 1 species